AUGCCAGGUUACAGUAGUCAUUUUAAACCUCUACCAGAGAAUCCAUUUCCAAGGCAAUGUUCUUGGCCUUAAAAUAUUUGUGCCUGCUGGGGAUUUUAUUACCAGGUAGAAAAUGGGGGAACACCUGUGCCACAUUAAAAAGCAGGUGCUGAGUAUGCCAGGACUUGGGAAGGACCUUAGGCUGAGGAGUGGACAGUCUGGUAUUUAGCCUCUCCCAGGUACCCCUCACAGAGUGGGAAAAAGAAGAAACUGCUCCUGCCUUCCAAUAGCUGGCAACUUGGCAUCAAGAAAAAAAACAUUAGACCGGGUAAAAAAAAAAAAAAUUGUAGCUGGGCUCCUGUCCUUUCAUUGUGCCCAGGUGUCUUACAUGUUGGGUUAAGCUGCCCCCAUGGAGGCCGUACCCUUCUCUUUGGACUGUGACAAUGGACACCAAACAGCCUGAACCAUGCGUGGCAGUCUUAUCCCCCAAGGGUUGUCCAGGCCCAAUGUGCAGGGCUUUUGUAUAGACUGCAGACAGCCAUACCUCACCACAGACCAAAGAUGACCUCGUGUCAGACUGUGGGCUGAUGAGAGGUAGAGCAGCAUGCAUGGAGGCCUGAGGGUGCAGGGCACCCUCCCUUGGCCUGGAGGAAUUGCUCCUAACUAGAAUAAGUUUCCACGAGGGUCCCAGGCAGAACCGCUGAGCUAGCCCUGGAGGCUCCACAGUCCUUGCCAGCUCAUAAACCUCCUUCAGAGCACCUUUCUACAGAACGGACUGCCCAGCUCCGUAGGGUGACGUCUGGUUUCUGGUGCUAUCCUGCCACGUUAUCGAGCUCCUCUUCGUGUUUCAACAUUCCAUCUUCCCGUUUCUAUCCUUGACUCCAAAGUAAGCCUUUUUAGCUGCAAUCAGGGAUGAGGGGCUCGAACUCUUUUGUCCUCAGAGAGGCCAACCACAGUGCCACAGCCAGUAGCCUUCACUUUCAGAUGUCCUAUUCAUGUAAAAAAGAAUAUGCCCCACCAGGCUUACAUCAGCAAUAAGCAAUUCCAAUGUAACAGUGGUGUCCAUAUUUUACCCCAGCGUGUGCCCUUGUAUGCCUUUGUGCCCGUGUAAUUGUUGUUAGCACUCCUUUUACUUAGAGGGGUGAUGAUAAACUAUGGUCACCUAGACUACAACCCAUAUUUCCUGCUUUGGGGAGCUUCCAAGUAACAGGUCAUUUCUUAUCUCCCUCUGGGAACAGUGGGCACUGCCCACCACCCGUGUCUGCUCAUAGGAUGACGCUGGAGACCCCCGUGCUCUACCCUCUUGGCAAAUUGGCAUUCUGGUGGUGGCUUUUGUUUCCUUUAACACUUUAAAUAAACGAUACAUAGGAUAUGAGGGGAGGGGUGAGAACAACUAGCUGUAGCAUGUAUAGGCUAUAUACUUUACCAUUAGACUUUUUUUCCCUUUUUUUUUUUAAAUAAAAGUGCUUGACUGGUUUCAAGCUUCAUCGAGAA